rnacentral:tRNA from 15 species
GCGGCUUUAGCUCAGUUGGGAGAGCGUUAGACUGAAGAUCUAAAGGUCGCCUGUUCGAUCCAGGCAAGCCGCA